AGAGGAUGACGUGUAGCCUCUCAAAUCUCCUCUUUUACAUUUUCUCAAUUCCUAGACUCCCAUGUCUAUUUUCUCUCAAAUGAUAGGAUUUCAGUGUUAGUUAAUUCUGGAAUUUUGAAAUUCCAGGCAGAAAUCGAAAAGUUACUCUAACUUUACUACUUCAGUUACAUAUUUGUAAAGGCUGAAACUCUAAGUAUUUAGCUUCAGCUCCACACCUCAAAGCUAACAUAUUUCGCUUCCGGUGUUGCUCCUACUCCUACGAUGAUUACGUUAAUCAAGUCAUUUCAACGGCGUUCCCUGACUUCCACUCCUACAAUUUUGUCGAUGCCAAUUUAUUCAAGGAUGAAGAAAUAAGGGCUUAGUUUCUGGGAUGUGGCUGUUAAGGUGGUGCAAAUGGCAUGUUCUCUUUGCAAAACAAUACAAAGGGCUUAGUUCCGGGGAGUUUUGAUCAGGUUAAUAAGUCCAAGAAUGAUGAUUCUCAUAUUACUGUGGCGGGUAUUUUUAUUUACUUCGAAUGGUCAGAUUCGGAGACUCAGUUGCUGACAAUUAAGUUCGGAUGGAAUGUCGUGAUGAGGUCAGUGUCCAGCACACUGGUUGGAGUUAGCCUAGAAUUUGAAAUAGCUACAAAUUGUGUUUCUACAUGGGCAAUGAGAACAAUAUUGUGAGGAGUUUGGACCUUUCUCGGCGAACAUCAAGUGCUAUCGUGUCGGAAACAAUAUUGUAUCAGCUUUCCCUGUUGCUAAAAACUGAACUAUAUGUCAAAUGCUCUGAUGCUUCCAUUUCUUCAUCAUUGAUGGGAUUAUUUUGGCCGAGAAACAUUAGAUUUCCUUUCAAGUACUCAACUCGCAAGAACUUAUGUAGUAUUUUUGUUUUGCUAAUUAUAUGAUUUUUGUUUAUUUGAUU